UCCUGUUACUCCUAUGUCUUUGACUCUAACUCUUCCCUUUAUAAUCCCCACUACAUCUAUAUGUAAAACGCUACAUUCCUCGCCACUGAACUACUGGCUUAAACUCUCCUGCCCAUAAAUCAGUUCCAAACAAAUUGCAUCUAUGGAUCUACAAGGACACACAUCCAACACAAAUUUAACAACUACUAUCUCCAAAAGAUCCUUUAUCAUACCCCAAGGACUGCACGUCUGCUUCCUCACAGACUCAAUGUGUCGACAUAUCAAAGACUACAUGCCAAAUGCGCAAUGCUGGGUGCACCCAGGGACAACCCUUAUAAGAUCUGCUAAGCAGCACAUCAACCACUUUAAAACAGUACAAAGCAACAGCAUUGUGAUCCUUCACAUCGGAACAAAUGACAUCGCAAGUGGAGCACCUGCAUCAAUAGUCGUCCAACGCAUGAAAACUAAUAACAAGAAUCUCCCUCAUUAAUCCUUACAUCAUUUACUUUGGAAUCAGUGCUAUAUUACCACGUCCGACAGAUAACUCUACAACUAAGAACACUGUCAAAGACUUGAACAGCUUGCUUCGCUACUGGACCGAACAAACAACAAACAUCAUUUUUCUGAACGCAACAAAACCAUUCCUCAAAAGUGGAAAAAUACUCCAUCACGUAUACAAGAAAGAUGGGCUACACCUUACUACAAAAAGAAAACAAAGACUUUUUGCCUACUUCCAGCGUUUCCUCUGGCAUUUUUGCUGUUUCCAAAAUCCCACAAAAAAAUGUUUAACUAACUAACAUGAAAUAGUUUCACAUCUCUCUUGUUCAACUUGUUACCUUUUCCUGAGAAAAU